rnacentral:tRNA from 2 species
GGAUGCAUAGCUCAGUUGGUAGAGCAACUGACUCUUAAUCAGUGGGUCCAGGGUUCGAGUCCCUGUGCGUCCACCA